AUUGAACGCUGGCGGCAUGCUUUACACAUGCAAGUCGAACGGCAGCGCGGGCUUCGGCCUGUCGGCGAGUGGCGAACGGGUGAGUAAUACAUCGGAACGUGCCCAGUAGUUUGGGAUAGCUCGGCGAAAGCCGGAUUAAUACCGCAUACGACCUGAGGGCGAAAGCGUGGGAUCUUCGGACCUUCCGCUCUUGGAGCGGCCGAUGGCGGAUUAGCUAGUUGGUGGGGUAAAGGCCUACCAAGGCGACGAUCUGUAGCUGGUCUGAGAGGACGACCAGCCACACUGGGACUGAGACACGGCCCAGACUCCUACGGGAGGCAGCAGUGGGGAAUUUUGGACAAUGGGCGAAAGCCUGAUCCAGCAAUGCCGCGUGUGUGAUGAAGGCCUUCGGGUUGUAAAGCACUUUUGGCGGGAAAGAAAAGGACUGUGCCAAUACCACGGUUCGAUGACGGUACCCGCAGAAUAAGCACCGGCUAACUACGUG
rnacentral:rRNA from 1 species